GCCAGGCGCGGUGACGCGUGCCUGUAGUCCCAGCUACUCAGGAGGUUGAGAGGGGAGGAUCACUUGAGUCCAGGAGUUCUGGGCUGUAGUGGGCUAUGCCAAUCGGGUGUCCGCACUAAGUUCAGUAUCAAUAUGGUGACCUCCCGGGAGCGAGGGAGCACCAGGUUGCCUAAGGAGGGGUGAACCGGCCCAGGUCGGAAACGGAGCAGGUCAAAACUCCGGUGCUGGUCAGUAGUGGGAUCGUGCCUGUGAAUAGCCACUGCACUACAGCCUGGGCAACAUAGUGAGACCCCAUAUCU
rnacentral:SRP_RNA from 1 species